rnacentral:lncRNA from 1 species
GGACAUCUCUGCUCAGGCCAGGGCCAGGGAUGUGGGAGUGUUCUGUCCUGCUCUGCGGUAGGCUCCUGGCUUCCUUGAUAUGGGGCUCACCCGGAGAGAUUGCAUAGACCCUCUGUGGCAGCACCCCUUCCAGAACCAAUACAGGAGGCAACUCAGAAGAGCAUGGCUGUGAUAACUGAAGCCACAUGCAGCCUGGCAGGAUAAACACUGCCUGGGAAUCAGAUGCUAUUUUCCUGGCCUCUCUCAGAUCUCAACUGUUGAGAGGAAACCAUACUGUCUGUCAUUAGCAAUUUUGCAAAAACAGCCUGUGAAUGCAUAUUAGCAUCACCUGAUUACUGAGCGCCCAGAGGCUCCGUCUCUCUGUACCCGGAUACAACACAGGAGGGAAAUGAUGUGGUUCCUGUCCUCAGAAACUCCUGGUCAAAGAAGGUUCCUGUGUCAGGGUCUCACUCUGUCACCCAGACUGGAGUGCAGUGGUGCGAUCUUGGCUCACUACAACCUCUGCCUCCCAGGCUCAAGCGAUUCUCCUGCCUCAGCCUCCUGAGUAAUUGGGAUUACAGGGGCACACCACUAAAGGAGGAGACCACCCCUCAUUUUGUCUUAUGCCCAAUUUCUGCCUCCAAAGAAAGAAAAAGUAAAAACUAAAAUGCAGAAAUGAAAUCCACAAGCAGACAGCCCGGUGCCACACCCUGGGCCUGGUAGUUAAAGAUCGACCCCUGACCUAAUUGGUUAUCUAUAGAUUACAGACAUUGUAUAGAAAAGCACUGUGAAAAUCCCUAUCUUGUUUUGUUCCGAUCCAAUUACCAGUGCAUGCAUCCCCCAGUCACGUACUCCCUGCUUGCUCAAUCGAUCAUGACCCUCUCACGUGCACCCCCUUAGAGUUGUGAGCCCUUAAAAGGGACAGGAAUUGCUCACUCGGAGAACUCGGCUCUUGAGCCCCGGCCCAAUAAACGCCUUCCUUCUUUAA